GACGAACGCUGGCGGCGCGCCUAACACAUGCAAGUCGAACGGAGCUUAGAGAGCUUGCUUUUUAAGCUUAGUGGCGAACGGGUGAGUAACGCGUGAGUAACCUGCCCUAGAGUGGGGGACAACAGUUGGAAACGACUGCUAAUACCGCAUAAGCCCACGGUACCGCAUGGUACUGAGGGAAAAGGAUUUAUUCGCUUUAGGAUGGACUCGCGUCCAAUUAGCUAGUUGGUGAGGUAACGGCCCACCAAGGCGACGAUUGGUAGCCGGACUGAGAGGUUGAACGGCCACAUUGGGACUGAGACACGGCCCAGACUCCUACGGGAGGCAGCAGUGGGGGAUAUUGCACAAUGGGGGGAAACCCUGAUGCAGCGACGCCGCGUGGAGGAAGAAGGUUUUCGGAUUGUAAACUCCUGUCGUUAGGGACGAUAAUGACGGUACCUAACAAGAAAGCACCGGCUAACUACGUGCCAGCA
rnacentral:rRNA from 1 species